rnacentral:rRNA from 1 species
AUUGAACGCUGGCGGCAGGCUUAACACAUGCAAGUCGAGCGGAGAUGAGGUGCUUGCACCUUAUCUUAGCGGCGGACGGGUGAGUAAUGCUUAGGAAUCUGCCAUUUAGUGGGGGACAACAUUCCGAAAGGAAUGCUAAUACCGCAUACGUCCUACGGGAGAAAGCAGGGGAUCUUCGGACCUUGCGCUAAAUGAUGAGCCUAAGUCGGAUUAGCUAGUUGGUGGGGUAGAGGCCUACCAAGGCGACGAUCUGUAGCGGGUCUGAGAGGAUGAUCCGCCACACUGGGACUGAGACACGGCCCAGACUCCUACGGGAGGCAGCAGUGGGGAAUAUUGGACAAUGGGCGGAAGCCUGAUCCAGCCAUGCCGCGUGUGUGAAGAAGGCCUUUUGGUUGUAAAGCACUUUAAGCGAGGAGGAGGCUACUAGUACUAAUACUACUGGAUAGUGGACGUUACUCGCAGAAUAAGCACCGGCUAACUCCGUGCCAGCCGCCGCAGUAAUAC